CCUACGGGAGGCAGCAGUGGGGGAUAUUGCACAAUGGGGGAAACCCUGAUGCAGCGACGUCGCGUGGGUGAAUAAGGGCCUCGGCGCGUAAAGCCCUGUCAGCAGGGAAGCAAAUGACGGUACCUGACGAAGAAGCCCCGGCUAACUACGUGCCAGCAGCCGCGGUAAUACGUAGGGGGCCAGCGUUAUCCGGAUUUACUGGGUGUAAAGGGGGCGCAGACGGCGAUGCAAGCCCGGAGGGGAAGCCCUGGGCCCCACCCCGGGACUGCCGGUGGAACUGCGUGGCUAGAGUGCAGGAGGGGCAUGCGGAAUGCGUGGUGUAGUGGUGAAAUGCGUAGAUAUCAGGAGGAACACCGGUGGCGAAGGCAGCCUGCUGGACUGCAACUGACGUUGAGGCACGAAAGCGUGGGGAGCGAACAGGAUUAGAUACCCGGGUAGUC
rnacentral:rRNA from 1 species